UACGUAGGGCGCAAGCGUUGUCCGGAAUUAUUGGGCGUAAAGAGCUCGUAGGCGGUUUCGUAAGUCGGAUGUGAAAACUCCAGGCUCAACUUGGAGACGCCAUUCGAUACUGCGAUGACUUGAGUCCGGUAGGGGAGUGUGGAAUUCCUGGUGUAGCGGUGAAAUGCGCAGAUAUCAGGAGGAACACCGGCGGCGAAGGCGGCACUCUGGGCCGUAACUGACGCUGAGGAGCGAAAGCAUGGGGAGCGAACAGG
rnacentral:rRNA from 1 species